UACGAAGGGGGCUAGCGUUGUUCGGAAUCACUGGGCGUAAAGCGCACGUAGGCGGUUCUUUAAGUCAGGGGUGAAAUCCCGAGGCUCAACCUCGGAACUGCCUUUGAUACUGGGGAUCUCGAGUCCGGGAGAGGUGAGUGGAACUGCGAGUGUAGAGGUGAAAUUCGUAGAUAUUCGGAAGAACACCAGUGGCGAAGGCGGCUCACUGGCCCGGUACUGACGCUGAGGUGCGAAAGCGUGGGGAGCAAACAGG
rnacentral:rRNA from 1 species